GAAUCGCAUUUUGCCUCAUCACUAGACCAAAUGUCGAACGUUUGCGUUGUUGAACAUUAUUCAAAAUUUCAUUUUAAAAUUGCCAACUUCUCACAAAAGUUUUAAACGGACGAAUGAUUUGCACGUGAAAAAACGAGUAAUUUUUUGUUGCAACAGAAGAAAUGGAGCAAUAUAUUAGAAAUUUAAUUCUAAUAUAACAAGUAAAGGUUAGAAUUCUCUCUGCGUUGUUGAACAUUAUUUAAAAUUUCAUUUUAAAAUUGCCAACUUCUCACAAAAGUUUUAAACGGACAAAUGAUUUGCACGUGAAAAAACGAGUAAUUUUUUGUUACAACAGAAUAAAUGGAGCAAUAUAUUAGAAAUUUAAUUCUAAUAUAACAAGUAAAGGUUAGAAUUCUCUCUGCGUUGUUGAACAUUAUUUAAAAUUUCAUUUUAAAAUUGCCAACUUCUCACAAAAGUUUUAAACGGACAAAUGAUUUGCACGUGAAAAAACGAGUAAUUUUUUGUUACAACAGAAUAAAUGGAGCAAUAUAUUAGAAAUUUAAUUCUAAUAUAACAAGUAAAGAUAAAACAAACCAGGAUUGCGUUUACUUUAAUUUCCAAAAAACGAAUUUUAUGUUUGCCAAUUUAUUGCGUGAUUAUUUGAUGGAUCAACAAUUGCAAAAUGCGUUUGACAUGUAUGAUAUUAAUAAUGGCUUAUUGAAUUAUUAUAGCUUAUUAUAUAAAUUUUAGGAUAUUUUGGAAAAUUACAAAUUCUGUAUAAUAACUAUUAAGAAACAAUAAUUAUUAUGUUAAAAGUUAAAUUUCUUACUAUUUUUUAGAUUUGAUUUAUGACGAUUUUAUGAUAUCUUAAAUAUUACAACAUAUUUUGAAAUGUUUGAGUUUUAAGUUUAAAUUAUGCACAUCAUUGAUUUUCAAAAACAUUAAUCAAAAAGAAAUUUUUUUCUAUUACAACAACAUGAUAUCACAAUAAAAAUUUGAUCAAGUUGUUUUAUUUUAUUCACUAUAUUUAUCAGAUCUUGUACAAUUUAAUUUUUUUUAUUUGCAAAAUUCAUCAUUCGAAUCUCAAUGUCUAAAAACAUUGGACAACAAAAUGAACAUACACGUAUAAAAAUAUAUGUAAAUAAUAAAACGAUAUUUAAUAAUAAAUUUAUAAAAAUCAUAAAAUAAAAUAACGUAUAAUUGAUAUAUAAUAGUAAUAAGAAUGGAUUAGAUAAGAUUCAUAUAAAAUUAAGAAUUUUAUAUUUACACGAAAGAAGAUAAAUAAAUUUAUAAUUUGAUAUUUUUAUGAUGCAUUAUAUAUAACUAUUGCAAUAUAUUAUAAGUGUAUACAGUGUAUAUAUUUUAUAAAAUAACGAUCGUUAUAAUUACAAAUCGCAUAGCUGUUACAUAUGAACUUUGUUCUUCGCAAAAUGAUAAGUAUCGAUCGUGAACAGGAAAGGUCGACGACACGAAAUAAAAUCGUUUGUAUUGUUUCACGAAUAACUUAAAUUAUUAUUAAGAUUAACCGUUUGAAUUUUUAAAUCGAAAUAAUUUACAUGUAUAUUUUGAAUAAAUAAUAACAAGCUGAAUAUUUUCAAUUAAUCGAUGAAUAGUUUCUCUUUCAUCAUCUCUUCACAACAUGAUGUAAUUUUUAUUUGAAAUAUAAUUGAAAGUCAUCAGACAUGUAAAAAUCAAAAAUGAAAGAUGUAUCUGUUCUUUCCAUAUGCUGUAUUAUUAAUCAAAAUGUAAUUAGUAUUAAAAAGUUAUAUGUAUAAAAAAAAUGAAAAUUAUAUUCAUUAUUCUUUUCUACAAA